UUGUUUACCUAAUCUUGGAAGCUUUCAUACUGUGGCUUUCUAUUUCCUUAUGCCUUGUUAACCCAUAGGUGUAAGCUCAGGGAAUUCUAAGCUUAUUCCCCACAGUUAAGGACUUUUUU